AUCUUUUUUUUCCUUCAUAUGUAUUUUUUCAAUUACUGAUUGAGAUUUUUAUAUAUUGAUAUAAAAGUAAGGAUAGAAAACUUUAUUUAUAAAUGAUAGAAAAUAUUUAUCUAUAUUUGUAAAUAAACAAAGAAGAUAGAGCAUUCAUCGAAGCUUUUAUGGAGAUAAAAACAGGACUACCAUAUGGAUAAAGAGCAAAAGACCCAUGA
rnacentral:lncRNA from 1 species